UACGUAGGGGGCAAGCGUUGUCCGGAAUCAUUGGGCGUAAAGAGCGCGUAGGCGGUCCGGUAAGUCCGCUGUGAAAGUCAAGGGCUCAACCCUUGAAUGCCGGUGGAUACUGUCGGGCUAGGGUCCGGAAGAGGCGAGUGGAAUUCCUGGUGUAGCGGUGAAAUGCGUAGAGAUGUGGAGGAACACCAGUGGCGAAGGCGACUCUUUGGCCUGUAACUGACGCUGAGGCGCGAAAGCGUGGGGAGCAAACAGG
rnacentral:rRNA from 1 species